rnacentral:lncRNA from 1 species
GACUUAGCGACUGAACAACGACAAAAUGGGUAGAAUGCCAGACCUAUAUCUGGGUUCUUAUCUCCCUCAGCUUACCCCUUCCCCACCAGUUUUAAAAGGAAAGGGUUUCUGCAAUCACUAGGCCAUUGUGGGCAGGUGGCCUUACACCAUGGCCAUCCUCCACGCCUGCGUCAGGAUGGGUCUCCUGGUCUCAGUCCUCUGCAGGCAAACAUAACUGCCUGCUGUUGUUUCCUGGGGUGAAAAUUGCUGGUAGGAGGGUGACUUCCUGGCCUGCCAAGUUUUCGUAGUAGAACUGUCACCUAGAUCUCCAGCAGCUCAUGGAGUCUGGAAUGAAAUCAGUCCUCCAAGUAAUAACCAAGUGGAAGUGGACUCAAAAUGCUGAGUGUCUGUGUGACUUCGGGGGACUGUUUCUCUGUUUUCCAAAGCAGCUCUCCUGCCAGCUCCUGCCCGGCAGCAAAGGGCUGCAGGGCGAACACUGAGGUCUCUGCUAGGAACACCCAGGGGAUUAAAAAAGGACUACAUAAAUAUUAUGAAAUGUUUGACUCCUCGUAAGAGUUGGACUGUGAAGAAAGCUGAGUGCUGAAGAAUUGAUGCUUUU